ACAUCUGUUAUACUUAGACCAACAUGGUAAUGUUACAUCUUUGCCGGGAGAGGUGGAUCAUUCUUAUUCUCCGUUUCCAGAAGAAUGUUCAGCAGGGCAUAAAAGAGCAAAGUUGAUUUGAAUUUGUAGGUUUGUUACUCAAUUCUACAAUAUCAUGUGUACUUUUGUUGCAACCGAGUGAAAGAAAAUCUUACUUGAAGCUGUAUUUGGUUUACAUUUAGUGUUGCCCAAGGUUGAAGGAGCUGAAUCUCUCUGAUUGCGAGCACCUCAGAAAACUCCAAAGUUCAAUGGUGCACGAACUCUUGAGACUUUGUGGCUUCAAGGUUGCUCAAGUCUGGCAGAGAUCGAUCCAUCAAUAGGAAAUUUGGUCAGACUAAUUGUUCUAUAUUCGUCUGGGUGCAAAAGGCUUACGGAACUUCCGAGCAGCAUAUGCCAACUAAAUUUCCUUAAAACCUUGGAGUGCUUCAGAAUUACAUGAAGAACAUGAAAUUUGACAAGAAAGAUGAGCAGUUCUUAUCAAUGCUAGAUCCAUUUGUAAGAUUAUUGGGUGAAUGCUUGAACUCAAAAUAUGAGAAUUUCAUGUCUGCCACACUUAGGUGCUUAUCUCCUCUGGUGAGGCUCCCUUUGCCAUCACUUGAAUCUCAGGCUGAGAAGAUAAAGAAUUCAUUACUGAAUAUUGCUCAAGGUUCAGUAACUUCCAGUAAUCCAUUAUUGGAGUCUUGCGUUAAGUUGCUAACAGUGCUUUUGCGUAGCACUAAGAUCACACUUUCUACGGAUCAACUGCAUAUGCUAAUCCGGUUUCCUCUUUUUGUUGAUCUUGAAAGAAAUCCCUCUUUUGUGGCUCUCUCACUGUUGAAAGCAAUAGUGGUGACUAGUCAAGUUGAAUCAAUUCGUAAGAAAAGCAGCCAAAUUUUGCUGCAGUUUUUUACUGGACUACCAUAUAUCCGAGAAACGUCUGAAACAGCAUCUUGAUUUCUUACUUUCAAACUUAAGAUAUGAGCAUUCAACGGGGAGAGAGGCCAUCCUUGAAAUGCUUCACGAUAUUAUAAUGAAAUUCCCAGUUAGCAUCAUAGAUGAACAAUCUCAGACGUUUUUUCUGCAUUUGGUGGUUUGUCUGGCGAAUGAUCGUGACAACAAAGUUCGUUCAAUGACUGGCACAGUCAUAAAGUUACUUAUUGGACGAGUCAGCCCCCGUUCGCUCCAGUCAAUUCUUGAGUUUAGUCGAUCCUGGUAUCUGGGAGAUAAACCUCAUUUAUGGAGUGUUGCAGCACUGGUUUUGGGGUCACUCAUUGAAGUACUUAAAGAUGGUUUCCAAAAGUAUAUUGAUAGCCUCUUGCCUGUUUUGAGAAACAUCUUGCAAUCUGCUGUUAAUGUUAUUACAAAUAAGCAAGUGGAUAUACCCAAUGAUGCAACGAUUUCAUCUUGGAAAGAAGCAUAUUAUUCACUGGUUCUGUUUGAGAAGAUAUUAAAUCAAUUUCCUAAGUUGUGCUUCAGAAAGGAUCUCAAGGAUCUGUGGGAAGCAAUCUGCGAGUUGCUUUUGCAUCCGCAUCUGUGGUUGCGCAACAUAUCAAACCGUCUUGUGGCUUGCUACUUUGCCACUGUGACCGAGGCUUGUAAAGAAAACCUUAAAGGAACUUAUUAUUUGAUGAGGCCAAGUAGACUUUUCUUCAUAGCUACUUCUCUUUGUUGUCCGCUGAAGGUGCUGCAGACUGAUGAUGCUGCCAGUGAUCUCAUUACUCAAAAUCUUGUCUUUUCAAUUUGCUCCCUGCAUUCAUUCUUAGGAAGAAAUGAAUGUAAAGAUCGAGACAAGUUCUGGUCCACCUUUGAACAUGAUGAGCAGGGUCUUCUACUUAAGGCUUUUCAACAGCUUGAUUCAAGGAAAGGGAAAAACAUCUAUUUAUCUCGUCUCUGACCUUAGCGGUCAAGAAGAUGAAAGCCAGCGCUACUUGGUCAUCUCCUAUUUGCUUAAGACAAUGGGGAAGAUUUCCCUUUAUGUGGAGGAUAUGCAGAUGAAAAUUAUCUUCAAUUGUUUUAAAUCAAUUUCACCAAAGCUUAUAGAUCAGAAUAGAUUAUUCCCGUCUAGGUGUGAAAAAUUGAGCAUCAUAUGCUGUUGCUGUUGGCGAGGUUGAUUGCCAAAGCUUUGCAUAUCAUAUGCUGUUGCUGCUGUACAAAGUUUGUGAAGGAUUUUCCGGAAAAGUUAUAUCAGAUGACGUGAAACAAAUGGCUGAAGAAGUGCGCGGGAGCAUAAGCAAAGUUAUAGGAGUGCACAGUUUUGUCCAAAUCUACAGUCAUAUAAGGAAGAAUCUCAAAUCCAAGAGGGAUAAGAGGAAACAAGAGGAGAAGGUGAUUGCUGUGGUUAAUCCAAUGAGAAAUGCCAAGAGGAAGCUGAGGAAUGCAGAAAAGCAUAAAGCACACAAGAAAAGGAAAAUGAUGGCAAUGGAGAUGGGAAGAUGGAUGUAGUUAGUUAGACUGUGCUAGGUGUGAAAAAUUGAGCAUCUUCAACACGAAGAAGGGCGUGUUCCAUCUGGGAGUGAGAGUUGGUGUCAAUCUCACGCCUUGUCAUCAGAUCACAAAGUAGAUUUUGGGGCUGAUUUCGCCCAGAACCCUCUGCAGCCCGAGGCAGGCCUCCCCUAAGUAGGCUUCUAUAGAAAAUUAUUCAUUAAUUUAUUUGAUCAACUUUUUCAUUGUAUAGUGCUAGUAGUUGCACUAAGCUUAGUUAAAGAAUGGAAUCUGUAUAGUGAAUAUAGUGGCCCUUUCAUUAACCUACAAUGCAAGAGAACAUUGUAAGUGAUUGAACAGUGUAAUUCAAGGAAUUUAAGUAAUGGGGAAUAGUCUUGGAGAA